rnacentral:rRNA from 1 species
GAUGAACGCUGGCGGCGUGCCUAAUACAUGCAAGUCGAGCGAACAGACGAGGAGCUUGCUCCUCUGACGUUAGCGGCGGACGGGUGAGUAACACGUGGAUAACCUACCUAUAAGACUGGGAUAACUUCGGGAAACCGGAGCUAAUACCGGAUAAUAUAUUGAACCGCAUGGUUCAAUAGUGAAAGACGGUUUUGCUGUCACUUAUAGAUGGAUCCGCGCCGCAUUAGCUAGUUGGUAAGGUAACGGCUUACCAAGGCAACGAUGGGUAGCCGACCUGAGCGGGUGAUCGGCCACACUGGAACUGAGACACGGUCCAGACUCCUACGGGAGGCAGCAGUGGGGAAUCUUCCGCAAUGGGCGAAAGCCUGAUGGAGCAACGCCGCGUGAGUGAUGAAGGUCUUCGGAUCGUAAAACUCUGUUAUUAGGGAAGAACAAAUGUGUAAGUAACUAUGCACGUCUUGACGGUACCUAAUCAGAAAGCCACGGCUAACUACGUG